CCUACGGGAGGCAGCAGUGGGGAAUAUUGCACAAUGGGGGAAACCCUGAUGCAGCGACGCCGCGUGAGUGAAGAAGUAAUUCGUUAUGUAAAGCUCUAUCAGCAGGGAAGAAAAUGACGGUACCUGAGUAAGAAGCCCCGGCUAACUACGUGCCAGCAGCCGCGGUAAUACGUAGGGGGCAAGCGUUAUCCGGAUUUACUGGGUGUAAAGGGGGCGCAGACGGCAGCGCAAGCCAGGAGUGAAAGCCCGGGGCCCAACCCCGGGACUGCUCUUGGAACUGCGCGGCUGGAGUGCAGGAGGGGCAGGCGGAAUUCCUGGUGUAGCGGUGAAAUGCGUAGAUAUCACACAGAACACCGAUUGCGAAGGCAUCUCACGAAUCCGCGAUUGACGCUGAUGCACGAAAGCGUGGGUAUCAAACAGGAUUAGAUACCCGGGUAGUC
rnacentral:rRNA from 1 species